rnacentral:misc_RNA from 1 species
UGUAGGAGCUGGCUUGCCUGCGAUAACGGUGGGUCAGGCAAUAUUUUCUCAGUUGAUAAACCGCUAUCGCAGGCAAGCCAGCUCCCACA